UUGCAAACAUUUAUUUCUUGAUUUAACCCACCACCACUAUGACCACCGACAUCUAAUCACUAAAAAUUGGGUAAAUGACUAUCUUACUUGUUUUUAUCAAUCUUUCUUAGAUCUAUAUAUAUAGCUCACAUUUAUUUCAGUGUUUACUAUUAGAAGUGUUUUGGGUCUUUAUUUAGAAAUUUGGUGAUGCUUUUGUUUUCAUUUUGAGAUGGAGUCUUGCUCUGUCUCCUGAGCUGGAGUGCAGUGGCGCGAUCUCCACUCACUGCAGCCUCCACCUCCCAGGAGAAUCACUUGAACCCAGGAGGCAGAGGUUGCAGUGAGCCGAGAUCAUGCCAUUGCACUCCAGUCUCAUGCCAUUGCACUCCAGGGCGACAAGAGCGAAACUCUGUCUCAAAAAAAAAAAAAAAAAUUGUUACGUUUUAAGAAGCACGAGUGUCAAUUAUCUAAAGGUAAAUUAGGUAUGAUUCAGAGGAUAACAG
rnacentral:lncRNA from 1 species